CAAUAGCGUAUAUUAAAGUUGUUGCAGUUAAAAAGCUCGUAGUUGAAUUUCUGGCGGGCGCGCCGGUCUUCCAAGUGUUGUACUGGGCGCAGUCCGCCAUCCUUGUGGAGAGGGCUCGCAUUGAGUUGCGUGUCGGAUCUGCAUCAUUUACUGUGAAAAAAUUAGGGUGUUUAAAGCAGGCUGUCGCUUGAAUACAUUAGCAUGGAAUAAUAAGAUAGGACUUCGGUCUAUUUUGUUGGUUGCGAACCGAGGUAAUGAUUAAUAGGGAUAGUUGGGGGUAUUCAUAUUUAAUUGUCAGAGGUGAAAUUCUUGGAUUUAUGAAAGAUGAACAACUGCGAAAGCAUUUACCAAGGAUGUUUUCAUUAA
rnacentral:rRNA from 1 species